rnacentral:tRNA from 1 species
GCAGUUGUGGCCUACGGGUUAGGGCUUCGGGCUUGGAUCCGAAUGGUUGCCGGUUCGAUCCCCAACCAGUGGGA